AGAGUUUGAUCCUGGCUCAGAAUCAACGCUGGCGGCGUGCCUAACACAUGCAAGUCGAGCGAGAAAAGGGGGGCAACUCCCUGAGUAAAGCGGCGCACGGGUGAGUAACACGUGGGUAAUCUGCCCUGAAGUGGGGAAUAACACCGGGAAACCGGUGCUAAUACCACAUACGAUAACGAGGUCUGCGGACUUCGUUAUGA
rnacentral:rRNA from 1 species